rnacentral:rRNA from 1 species
AGUAGUUGAUCAGUGGCUACGAGGACGAACGCUGGCGGCGUGCCUAACACAUGCAAGUCGAACGAGGUCCAAGGAAGCUUGCUUCCUGAAGACCUAGUGGCGAACGGGUGAGUAACACGUGAGAAACCUGCCUCGGAGUGGGGAAUAACUCGGGGAAACUCGAGCUAAUACCGCAUACCUUCACAUGAUCGCAUGGUCGAGUGAAGAAAGAAUUUCGCUCUGAGAGGGUCUCGCGGCCUAUCAGCUUGUUGGUGGGGUAACGGCCUACCAAGGCAACGACGGGUAGCUGGUUUGAGAGAACGAUCAGCCACACUGGGACUGAGACACGGCCCAGACUCCUACGGGAGGCAGCAGCGGGGAAUCUUGCGCAAUGGGCGAAAGCCUGACGCAGCAACGCCGCGUGCGGGAUGACGGCCUUCGUGGUUGUAAACCGCUUUCAGCAGGGACGAAAAUGACGGUACCUGCAGAAGAAGCCCCGGCUAACUACGUG